CCGUUCCCAUGCCGAACACGAUGGUUAAGCUUCUAAGCGCCGAUGGUACUGCAAGGGCGACCUUGUGGGAGAGUAGGACGUUGCCAGGU
rnacentral:rRNA from 1 species